rnacentral:rRNA from 1 species
AACGAACGUUGGCGGCCUGGAUUAGGCAUGCAAGUUGAGCGUACCCAGCAAUGGGGAGCAGCGUAAGGGGCAGUAAUGCAUGGGUAUCUACCCGGGGAUCGGGCAUAGCCUGUAGAGAUACAGGGUAAUUCCCGAUGACGUCGCAAGACCAAAGCUCCGGCGUCCUCGGAGGAGCCCAUGUGAUAUUAGCUAGUUGGUGGGGUAACGGCCCACCAAGGCGAAGAUGUCUAGCGGGUGUGAGAGCACGACCCGCGCCACUGGCACUGAGACACUGGCCAGACACCUACGGGUGGCUGCAGUCGAGGAUCUUCGGCAAUGGGCGCAAGCCUGACCGAGCGAGGCCGCGUGGGCGAUGAAGGCCUUCGGGUUGUAAAGCCCUGUCGAGGGGGAGAAAAGCCGAAAGGUUUGAUCUAUCCCUGGAGGAAGCACGGGCUAAGUUCGUGCCAGCCGCCGCGGUAACAC